UAGGGAAUCUUCGGCAAUGGGGGGAACCCUGACCGAGCAACGCCGCGUGAGUGAAGAAGGUUUUCGGAUCGUAAAGCUCUGUUGUUAAGGAAGAACGAGUGUGAGAAUGGAAAGUUCAUGCUGUGACGGUACUUAACCAGAAAGGGACGGCUAAUUACGUGCCAGCAGCCGCGGUAAUACGUAAGGUCCGAGCGUUGUCCGGAAUCAUUGGGCGUAAAGGGUACGUAGGCGGAUAAGCAAGUUAGAAGUGAAAUCCUAUAGCUCAACUAUAGUAAGCUUUUAAAACUGCUCAUCUUGAGGUAUGGAAGGGAAAGUGGAAUUCCUAGUGUAGCGGUGAAAUGCGCAGAUAUUAGGAGGAAUACCGGUGGCGAAGGCGACUUUCUGGCCAUAUACUGACGCUGAGGUACGAAAGCGUGGGUAGCAAACAGG
rnacentral:rRNA from 1 species